rnacentral:rRNA from 1 species
UACGAAGGGGGCUAGCGUUGUUCGGAUUUACUGGGCGUAAAGCGCACGUAGGCGGAUCUUUAAGUCAGAGGUGAAAUCCCAAGGCUCAACCUUGGAACUGCCUUUGAUACUGGGGAUCUUGAGUCCGGGAGAGGUGAGUGGAACUGCGAGUGUAGAGGUGAAAUUCGUAGAUAUUCGCAAGAACACCAGUGGCGAAGGCGGCUUACUGGUCCGGUACUGACGCUGAGGUGCGAAAGCGUGGGGAGCAAACAGG